rnacentral:rRNA from 1 species
GGGGGGGGGGGGGGGGGGGCGGGGGGGGGGGGGGGGGGGGGGAAGGGGGGGGGGCGGGGGGGACGCGAGGGGCGAAGGGGGGAGGAACACGGGAGGAGCGGGCCCGGGACGGGGGGAUAACUUCAGGAAACUGGGGCGAAUACCGGAGAGGAGCGCCUGCUGCAUGGGGGGGGGUGGAAAGGUUCGGCGGGGGGGGAUGGACUCGCGGCUUAUCAGCUUGUUGGUGGGGUAGUGGCUUACCAAGGCGUUGACGGGUAGCCGGCCUGAGAGGGUGACCGGCCAUAUUGGGACUGCGAUACGGCCCAGACUCCUACGGGAGGCAGCAGUGGGGAAUAUUGCACAAUGGGUGGAAGCCUGAUGCAGCAACGCCGUGUGCGGGAUGACGGCCUUCGGGUUGUAAACCGCUUUCGCUCAUGACGAAGCUUUGUGUGACGGUAGUGGGUAAAGAAGCACCGGCUAACUACGUG